rnacentral:ncRNA from 1 species
UUGUUCGUAGAAAAGGAGAGAUGGUUGGCAUCUCUCCUGACAGGGACGGGAACGGCCUUCGGGCUUUACCUGUUACCUGCACAUCCGGUUAAGGCUACCCACCUCCCAGUGGAUCUCUAACCCAAUUUUUAA